GUGCAGCAGUCGAGAAUUUUUCUCAAUGGGCGAAAGCCUGAAGGAGCGACGCCGCGUGGAGGAUGAAGGCUUUCGGGUUGUAAACUCCUGUCAUUUGAGAACAAGUGUAGCCAAAUAACUACUGGCUACUUGAUAGUAUCAGAAGAGGAAGGGACGGCUAACUCUGUGCCAGCAGCCGCGGUAAUACAGAGGUCCCAAGCGUUGUUCGGAUUCAUUGGGCGUAAAGGGUGCGUGGGUGGCGCCGUCAGUGGGGUGUGAAAUUUCGGAGCUUAACUCCGAAACUGCAUUCCAUACUGCGGUGCUUGAGGACUGGAGAGGAGACUGGAAUUCAUGGUAUAGCAGUGAAAUGCGUAGAGAUCAUGAGGAAGACCAGUGGCGAAGGCGGGUCUCUGGACAGUUCCUGACACUGAGGCACGAAGGCUAGGGGAGCGAACGGGAUUAGAUACCCGGGUAGU
rnacentral:rRNA from 1 species